rnacentral:ncRNA from 2 species
CUAGGGUGAGGGCGCCGUGGUGCUCGGGAAGACCGGUUCAAAAUCCGGAGCGGCCCUCGCCACUGUGAUCGGGAAGUCCUCGCGCCGAUUCCCCCCGCUUGCCGGGGAGGGGUCACUGGGCACGCGGGUGUCUGGGAAGGCCGGGCGCGCGGACGUUUCACCCGUAAGCCAGGAGACCGGCCACGGCACCGUACGAGAC